ACGAAUAAAUAAAUAAACAAAGAGAUACAUGAAAACAAAAUUCAAAGGAAAGUAAGGCGAUGGAGCAGUAAGCAGUGUAUUCAAAAUCAUUUCCACACAUGCAUCUUCUCCAUAAGAAGGUCAUCGGGCCGGUGCCGUCCCAGUUUCCUCAUCUGCCAAGUGAGGGCCCGAACCAAAUUAGACAAAGCGCAAGGACCUACUUUCCCCAGCUGCAAAGGUGAUCUGCUCCACCUCCGCACUCCCUCAGAGGAGGAAACGGAGGCCCAGCAGUCUCUGUGAUCUCACCCAAGCAGUAUCUGGACUGGACUGGGAAUCAAAGCCGGCCACGACUCUCCGCGGGAGAGGCCACGGGACAGUAAGCCACGCCCACUCCUAACUGGGAGAUCCCUGGUGGGGUGGCUCCAUCGAGGUUGUGCCUCCAAGUCAACGACCACCCCCCGAGCUGUGGGGAGAUGGUACUUUCCAAAGAUGGCCACGGAGAUACCUCCCCGUCCACAUGCUCUUCCUAAAAUGUGACUGUGACCCUCUUCUCACCUAGAGGCAGAGUCUAUGCAGGGAGCCAGUGACUGCAGCAGAAGUGACAUUAUAUGAAUUCCAGAGCUGGGUCCUAGGACUCAGUGCUUUCUCCACUGUGGCCUGGGGUUCAAUCCCUGGUCUGGGAACUGCGAUCCCCCAUCAAGCCGCUGCAGGAAGUUCCCCGGUGGUCUCAUGGUUAGGACCCAAAGCUGGGUCCUAUAAAAGAUAAUCAGGCUUCCGUCUCGUUCCCUUGGGCUACUCACUCUUGGAAGCCAGCCACCAUGCCACCAGGAAGCCCAGGCCAUGUGGCACGGUCACAGGUAGGUGUUCCAGCCGAGGUCCCAGCAUCAAUUGCCAGACAAACGUAUGAAAAAGCCUUCUAGAUAACUCCAGGGCCUGUCACAGUCUGGCUGCAAGAAAGUCUGACUGUUUGAGAAACGCUGAGCAAGAACUGUUCUAGCUGAGCCCAGCGGACCCAGAGCCAUUAGCGAUAAGAUAAUAACGCUUGCAGUGAUUUGCGAUGUCACAUAGAUAACUGGGACAGCCUAUGUCAUCUCUCCACUCACACACACCUGAGGCCAGCCGGGACCUGCUACACAGGUGGUGCUACUUCAUGGCACUUGAACUCACAAGCCUAAUGAAGGGUCCUGGCAAUCCUAAUUAUUCUGAUCUGUUUGUCAGGACAGCCUGGGCAGUGCAAAUAACAUCCAGAUGGCAGGUGUUAACAAACAUACUUGCACAAGUGCACACACACACAUGCCCUAAUAGCAGCCUAUUUAGGGAAAUUCAAGGCCUCCCAAUGGUGCACAGAGAGGCCUCUAUCAGGGCAAAGAAAGACUUCAACAUUUUGCAGCAACAGCCUUGCACUGUAUGUGGAUCAAAGAUAGACAACAUCUUGCAGAAUCAACCCACGAUGAGGACACUUGGCCUUAAACAACUGACCUCUGGACUCCUCUGAUCCCUGAAAUUUUUUUAAAAAAGCUCUACUGAGAUAUAGUUCACAUAUUAUAAGAGUCACCUCCUCAAAGUAUAUAAAUCAAUGGUUUGGAGUACAUCUACAGUUGGGUAACUGUCACUAUAAUUUUAGAACAUUUUUAAUCGUCCCCCAAAAAGCCUGGUUUCAAGAGCAAUCACUCACCCUUCUUCCUUCCCAAGCCCAGGCAGGCACUAAUGGGCUUUCUCUGUGGCUCUGCCUAGUCUGGACAUCUGUCUUUUUUUGGCUGCCCCACAGCAUAUGGAGCUCUUGGACCAGGGAUCAGAUCCAAGCCACAGGCACGAACUAAUAAUCCACAGUUGUGGCAACACUGGAUCCUUAACCCACCUUGCUGGGCUGGGGAUUGAACCCUCGUCCCAGUGCUCCCAAGAUACUGCCCAUCUCGUUGCACUACAGCGGGAGCCCUUGGACAUUGGUAUAAAUGGAAUCAUACAACAUGUGGUCUUUUGUGACUGGCUUCUUUCAUUUAAUAUAGUGUCUCAAUAUUCAUCCAUAUUAUAUGUAUGUUAUACCUUUCUAUGGCUGAAUAAUGUUCCAUUGUAUGAAUAGACCACAUCUGGCUUAUCAUUCAUCAAUUGACGGAACUUUCUGU